UCAUGCUUCACACAAAUAUUCUAAACAAAUAGUAAAUUUAGUAUAUUACAAGACUUGGGCUUACACACCCCAAAAGAACAAAACAUAAGGCCAUACUUAUAUUACAAUCCAUGGUGACAUGAUCAAAUUAGUCUUCAAAAUUUCAUGUAAGUAUACAACACAUAGAUCACGUACAAGUCCCAAGGUUUAUACAAAAUAUAGAUGCCUAUAUGCAAAUGUGAUAUUUCUUAAAGCUCUCAAAAUCUCCAUCUUCAAUUGCCCACUUCACGCCUCCUCUCGAUCAAUCCCUACGAUAGAAACAACUAUCGCUAAGCAUAUAGCUUAGUGGUGCAAAAACUAUAGGUUCGGAGCCCUCAGAUUCACCAAGCUACCUUUCUCAAGUCAUGGGCAGAAUAUAUAAUCAAACAUAAUAAAUAAAUAAAGUAAACAAUAUAUCAAGAGUAUCAAAUUUGAUAUUUAAAGAUCCAAAUGUCAAGAACGCUCAUAGCACCAUUCUCCAAGAGAUUCAAUAACAAGUCUCGCCCAAUAUGUCCAUCAUGUCUUCACACCAAGCACAAGCAAGUAUCAAGAAGGGCCGACGCUCUAUAUCAAGAAGGGUCAAAGCCCAAUAAUCAAGAGAACCAAGAACCACAUUAGAAAUGGCUAACCAUAUUAAAAAUGACUUUCUAGUUCGUACUUAAAGUGGACAAUUUCCAUUCUUAAGACGAACUAAAAAUCUAGAGUCAAGAUGACAAAUGAUCCGAAUCAAGAGGCAUGCCAAUAGUGACAAAGUCACAGCCACAAGAAGGACAAGGUCCCAACAAGAGUGUCAAGUGAUCAAACAGUCCGUACAAGUGGGCGAGUUACAUGAGUAUCUUUAACAUCUUAAAGGAUACCAACACGACAAUGCAAAGUGCCAAGAGGUAAUCAAGGUACCAAGAUAACUUUUAGAUAUACCAGAAAGUAAACAGAGUACAAGUACAAGUUUAUACACAAACCUCCGUGCUUUAGCAAAGAAAUAGUCCAACACAACUUCGCGAGUUCAGACCGUAGACCAACCAAUGUUUCAAGGUCCUCAACUUGUUCACGAAUAUAUACAACCUUAAAAAUACAAUUAAAUAGCUUCUUUAAUUCCUAGCUGCUCAAUAAUGUUGAUGUAAAACAAGAUUAUCAUCACAAGUAAGCUUAGCCUGUACAAAUACGACUAUGCUCCCAAAACAGUGAUUCUGGCCAGCCUAGUACCUCAUGUCGCAACUUAGAUUUGAAAAGGAAAACGGCAAAACUAGACUUUAUAACCUUCAUGAAAGAUGUAGCUACAUCUCUUAAGGUUGCAAACAAACAAGAAUCACCGCAAAAUAUGUUCUGUACAACAAGAUAUAUUCAAAACACUAACAGGGGUUCAUACAUGAUUUGAAAUUCCAAAAUCAGGACAUAAUUUGUCCUAUGUUGUGUCUCAUAUUUCGAAUCCAUAAAAACUAAAUUAGAGUUUUACAUAAACAUAAGACUUGUAGGUCUACGAAUUAUAUUUUCAAAUCAUAUUUAUUCACUGUGAACUAAGUUUUAGAGACAGAUAUAUGCAUAAAAUACCAAACACUACCCAGCUCCGAAACAUAUUUCGUCACUUACCAAAAGAAGUGUGUGUCUUCGAAUUCCAGCCAAAAGGGCCAAGUUUUUCUCUUGUGAUUUUGAAGAACAAUCUGUUUAGCUAAGGUUCUAAUGUUCUUGGACUUGAGGUAAACAAAUUUAAUUAAAGGAGGUGUGAAAAUAUAUAGUUACAAAAGUGAUACUUAUCACAUUUACAGAUGUCACCAAAAGGGGUUGCCCAAACAAAAAGUUGGCUGCCUAAAAAGCAUACAUAUAUACAUAUAUGUAUAUCCUUCACCUCCCUUUAAAGUUAUACAUAAUUUUAAUUAGAAUAUUAUGAAAAUACCCCAAUACAAUACCUUAAAUUACUAUCACAACUUAUGUUAAGCAAGUAAGCAAUUCUCACAACAUUUCAAGUUCCCAAAAUGAGAGUAAAACAUAUUUUAAUAAUUAAGCUAUGGUAAAUCAACAUGUGACUCUUGAUUAAUAUUUAGGGAUGUUACAGUGAGUAUACUUGGGUUAAUGCAAUUGAAGAUUUUAGUUGGAAAGUGUGUAUAAAAUUUGGGUUAGUCUUUUGGAUCUGAUUGAUAUAACUGGGUUGAGGUGUCAUGUCGAUGAAAAGGUUAACUCGUGGUGAUGACAAGGGCUUACUGAGAAUGAUGGUAAUACAAGUUAGUGAUGUAUUGUGAUUGAGAUGCAACUAUAGAAUACAGAUUGUUGGUUAAAUAAAUUUUGUAUGGUAAUAAUGACUUGUGAGUAUCUAUGGUUGCAACUUUCUACUAUUUAGUGAGUAACGUGGUUGUAUGGAAAGUUUUGAGAGAUGUUGGGGCACGACUCAAAUAGAAUUUAAAGGAGCUGGAGUCAUAAUGAAGAUGAAAUAAAAUUAAUGGGAUGAGUGUAGCCUUCGGAAAGAGGUGAGAGUAAGAAUAUUUUCUCCGGUUGCAAGGACUUAAAAGGUAUCUUCAAUGGGAUUUAGAAUUGGGUUCAAAGAUGCGUAAUUUCAUCUGUUUUGCUCUGGUUAUGGUAAUAGUGUGACAUGUUCAUCAUAUUGGUUAAAACGAUUGAAAAAGACUUGAGAAAAGAGUGUACCUACGUUAAACUCGAGUGUGACGAUAAGUUCUUUUGUGGUUUUGAGUUCAGUAAUGAGUACUAUUGAAUUUUUAGCGAAGGAUAUGGUAAGAUCUUUGAAGAGGAGAUCAAUGAUAAGCUAAGAUACAUGAAUUCCUAAAAAAUCUUCAAGGUAUGAGCUAAUGUUGAUAGAUAAGAGGAUUGAGUUACACAGUUGAAUUUACAAUUCAAAUCUUUUUUUUGUCAUUAUACGUCUACAUUUAUGGUAAUAUGUUUUGUCAAGAUAUGGAUUGGUAAUAUAAGAAAUGAUUGAUUGCAUCGGUAUUGAGCAUGUGAAAGAACUUAUGCAUGUUUUGGACAUAAAGUUUGUUACUUUUUAUGUAGAAUUUUUAUUUUUUUUUUCUUAAUUUUUUUGGUCAAAACUAUUAUCUAAAAGUCAAAGAUCAGAAGAAGGUUUAUCUUUUUUUCAAGUCAUGCUUAUUAAUGAGUUAGAAAAAUUCUUUCAAAUUUAUAUAGAUUAACAAUCUAAAUCCUUUAUAGUGUCUCGUGUAAUGUCACAUCACUUACAAAAUUAUUGUUUUAAAAUGUAAUUUACUAAAGUUGUUUGACUUAGUUAUUCGUUACAUAUUUUUUUCGUCAAUUAAAUUUUAUCUUACUCUAUAAAAACCUAUUUAUUAAAAAAAGAUUAUACUAUUUAUUUUGAUAAGGCAAAUCAAUUUUAAUAGGAAUUUAUUUUAUUAAAUAAAUUUUAUUAAUUAUAUUUUGAAAUUAAAUUUGGUAACUAUUACUAUAAAAAUAAUUACUAGAGCUAUUGGACUAAGUUAUUCAUUAUAUCUUUUUCGUAUAUUAAAUUAUAUUUUACUCUAUUAAAAAAAUUAUUCCAAAAAUAAAUUAGACUAUUUAUUUUGAUAUAUAAUACAAAUAUAUUUAUUAGGAGUUUAUUUGGAAUUUCCUUGAUAUUUGAUUUUAUCGAUUCAAAAUUAAUAGAACUCAUAUUGCAAUACUUAAAUGAAUAAUUUUGCCUACUGAUAUAUCCUCACAAAAAUAUAGUGACCAAUGAAUUUUGUGUUUGAGGACGUUUUUGGGUGUGAAGAAAUUGAAAAGGGUGUGAGUAGGAAUGAAGUGGGAAAUGGUGAAAACUGAAAAGAGCGGACAAUGAGAGAGAAAAAUCAUACUUUUUUUCUCUGUAUAUUAUUUAUCUUUUUAAUAUGUAAUUUCUGAUGUGUCAUAAAAAAGAAUAUAAGAUAUAUAAAAAAUAAUGUUGGAAUACCAUGUGUAGUUGGUUGUAUUAUAUACCCAAUGAUCAAGUGAGAAAGGAGUUUAAAAUAUUGUUCUUUAUCGAGUUUAAGUAUUUAUUUGACAAAAUGAUAAGUAAGAAGGUUCAAUUAACAAACGGAACCAAAUACAAUAAUUUUUCAAGUCAUAACUCCCCUAAAUAUUCACAACUAACAUUUUUGCUCUUGAUAAUGGGAGUGACCAAAUUUCAUGCCACCCUAAAUAAUCACGGUUGGAAAAAUAAAAAUUUCACCCAAAAAUAAAAUUCAUGUUAAAUAGCAAUAAUAAGAGAAUAACAACAACAUCAAAUACUCUAAUCAAAUAAAAAUAUAAUAUCCAAACAAAGUAAUAAAUACCACUGCUUACAGCUUGAUGGUGUUAAGAGACUAACCACACUUUCUAACUAAACAACAUUCUUUUACGUCACACAACUCAUCAUAAUAUUAUUCUCGCACAAUUUUCUUAUAGACUAUAAAAAAUAAUCUAUAGAUUACUCUUUAUUGCUCUC
rnacentral:lncRNA from 1 species